rnacentral:tRNA from 1 species
AGAGGCUUGUUUGUCAGAGCAAUCUGACUUAUAAGCAGAAAGACGACGAUACAACAAACACAGGCUUAAAGUGAAUUUCUAAUCGCUUAGCUGUCAUUUUUUUUAAUAUACUGUAAAAGAUUACCCAACAAGUAGAGUCUCGUAGCUCAGCUGGUUAGAGCGCUACACUGAUAAUGUAGAGGUCGGCAGUUCGAGUCUGCCCGAGACUACUAUUUUUUUAUCAUUUAAGAAUUAUUAAUUGCGAAUCAAUAAUUGCGAAUCUAUGAUUUUUAUUUGUAGGGUAUGAUUUUAAGGAAAUUCUAGAAGUUGGGAGUUCUGACUUAUAAUUCGUAAUUCUGAAUUCGUAAUUCUGAAUUUCAUUAUGGGGAAUUAGCUCAGCUGGCUAGAGCACUUGAUUUGCAUUCGAGAGGUCAUCGGUUCGACUCCGAUAUUCUCCACAAGUAGAUUGGUCAUUUAUUGUUCAAUCAACUAAAGUUCUUUGACAUAUUGAGAAUACAAGAGUUAACUAUUAUAUAAUUAUAUAAUAGAGUAACGAGCAAAUAAUAGAGAAUAAAUUUUUAGAAGCAAUUUUAAAGAAAGAGUAACAAAGUUAC